rnacentral:rRNA from 1 species
GUCUACAGCCAUGCCACCCUGAACAAGCCCGAUCCCGUCUGAUCUUGGAAGCUAAGCAGGGUCGGGCCUGGUUAGUACUUGAAUGGGAGACCACCUAGGAAGACCAGGUGCUGUAGGUA